rnacentral:lncRNA from 1 species
CGUGGUUACAGAAACGUACUACCCGACGGUCUGGUGCUGGGAGGGUCGAGGACAGACCCUGCUUAGACCUUUCAUCACUUCGAAGCCCCCGGUGCAGUACAGGAAUGAACUUAUUAAAACUGCAGAUGGAGGACAGAUUUCACUGGACUGGUUUGAUAAUGAUAACAGUACGUGUUAUAUGGAUGCCAGCACCAGACCUACUAUCUUAUUGUUGCCUGGCCUCACGGGAACAAGCAAGGAGUCAUAUAUCCUUCAUAUGAUCCAUCUUAGUGAAGAAUUAGGAUACAGAUGUGUGGUUUUUAACAACAGAGGAGUGGCGGGGGAGAAUCUCUUGUGACUUAGGCACUGGAGGAAAUGAAGAUCAACACGAUUUCGAAAGCAAAAGUUGCAGAGUGUUAUGGUCUUACUCAAGUGCCUUGUAAUAAAUAGCUUGACGUGAA